rnacentral:rRNA from 1 species
GACGAACCGUGCGAACGUUAUUCGGAAUCACUGGGCUUAAAGCGCGUGUAGGCGGGACGGCACGUCGGUCGCUGAAAUCCCCCGGCUCAACCGGGGAACGGGCGCCGAUACGACCGCCCUGGAGGGACGUAGGGGGACCUGGAACUUCCGGUGGAGCGGUGAAAUGCGUUGAGAUCGGAAGGAACGCCCGUGGCGAAAGCGAGGUCCUGGACGUCUUCUGACGCUGAGACGCGAAAGCCAGGGGAGCGAACGGG